AACUCCUCUCUGCCUAAACCAUUUUACUGAUUCGAGAUUCUCACUUCUCCUCCAAAUCAGUUUUACUUCGCCGCUGGUUUUUCUCUUCCAGAACAACAAUGGCGGUUUCCGGUGACCCGAAGUUGAAGAUCGUCAAAGGCGAAGCCGGUUACGUGCUCGAAGACGUGCCUCAUCUCGCCGAUUACUUGUCCGAUCUUCCUACUUAUCCUAAUCCACUGCAAACCAAUCCUGCUUACUCUGUAGUCAAGCAGUAUUUUGUUAACGAAGACGAUACUGUUGCUCAAAAGAUUGUUGUCCACAAGGAUAGUCCAAGAGGGACACACCUUCGGCGAGCAGGACCACGCCAAAAGGUGUAUUUUGAGGCGGAUGAAGUGCAUGCCUGUAUCGUAACAUGUGGUGGUUUGUGCCCUGGGCUCAACACGGUGAUCAGGGAAAUUGUCUGUGGACUUUAUCACAUGUAUGGUGUCAACAAGGUUCUCGGAAUAGAUGGAGGAUAUAGUGGUUUCUAUUCCCGAAAUACUGUUGAUUUGACACCUAGGGUUGUGAACGAUAUUCAUAAACGUGGUGGUACUAUCCUUGGGACAUCACGGGGAGGCCAUGAUACCUCGAAGAUUGUUGACAGCAUUCAUGAUCGUGGAAUUAACCAGGUUUACAUAAUAGGAGGCGAUGGAACUCAAAGAGGAGCAUCUGUCAUAUUUGAGGAAGUUAGACGCCGUGGCCUCAAAGUUGCUGUUGUAGGAGUUCCCAAAACAAUAGACAAUGACAUACCGGUUAUAGAUAGAUCCUUUGGCUUUGAUACUGCGGUUGAGGAGGCCCAGCGUGCCAUUAAUGCAGCUCAUGUGGAAGCUGAAAGUAUUGAGAAUGGUAUUGGUGUUGUGAAGCUAAUGGGACGCUACAGUGGUUUCAUAGCUAUGUAUGCUACACUUGCCAGUCGAGAUGUGGACUGUUGUUUGAUUCCAGAGUCCCCCUUCUUUCUUGAAGGACGAGGUGGACUUUUUGAGUUCAUUGAAAAGCGACUCAAAGAAAAUGGACAUAUGGUUAUUGUGAUUGCUGAGGGAGCAGGACAGGAUCUUCUGGAAGAGAGCUUGCAAUCCAUGAACCAGCAAGAUGCUUCGGGAAACAAGCUACUUAAAGAUGUGGGGUUAUGGAUAUCUCAGAGGAUCAAGGAUCACUUUGCACACCAACAUAAGCUGUCUGUAAAUCUGAAAUACAUAGAUCCUACAUACAUGAUCAGGGCUAUUCCGAGUAAUGCAGCUGACAAUGUCUACUGCACACUGCUGGCUCAAAGUGCCGUUCAUGGAGCAAUGGCAGGGUUCACGGGCUUUGUAGUUGGGCCUGUCAAUGGAAGACAUUCUUACAUUCCUUUUAAUCAUAUCACUGAGCGCCAGAACAAGGUUGUGAUUACUGAUAGGAUGUGGGCACGGCUCCUUUCUUCAACCAACCAGCCGAGCUUCUUGAACCCCAAAGACGUUGAUGAAGUCCUAAAAGAGGAAGAGCCUGUAACUCAACUGCUAGAAGGAGACAAUUGUAAAGAUAGCAAGUACUAGAGACAUUCCUAGCACGACAUGAAAACACGAGACCAUAUUAUUCGAAACCUUCUGUUAGAGUCAUUAGUGUUCAGAUCUUUCCUUGAUGCUCUUCAGAAUGCUGAUGGAAUUCACAUUUUUACUUGCUAGUAUAAAACAAAUUCAGUUCACCAUGUCCUACCAAAGAGAUUAUCGCAUAAGAUGUUCAUUUGGUAGAAGCAAAACUAGCAUAUCUGGAGUGGGAUUAGCUUGUACGAUUUUGUAAUUACUUAGCUCAUUGCAUAUUUUUGACAGUGUUGCUGUUGGCCAUUUAUUCUAUUGGAUAGUUUUGGAUGUUUUGAAAAGGGUAAUGAAAGUAAUUUGGCUAUUUAAGAGUUCAUUAUAACA